UACGGAGGGGGCAAGCGUUGUUCGGAAUUACUGGGCGUAAAGGGCGCGCAGGCGGCUGCUCAAGUCAGGCGUGAAAGGCCUGGGCUCAACCCGGGAAUUGCGCUUGAGACUGGGCUGGCUUGAGUGCGGGAGAGGAUGGUGGAAUUCCCAGUGUAGAGGUGAAAUUCGUAGAUAUUGGGAAGAACACCGGUGGCGAAGGCGGCCAUCUGGGCCAACACUGACGCUCAUGCACGAAAGCGUGGGGAGCAAACAGG
rnacentral:rRNA from 1 species